rnacentral:rRNA from 2 species
GACGAACCGUGCGAACGUUGUUCGGAAUCACUGGGCUUAAAGGGCGCGUAGGCGGGCCCUCAAGUCCGGGGUGAAAGCCUCCCGCCCAACGGGAGAAGCGCCUCGGAGACUGGGGGCCUCGAGGGAGGUAGGGGCAAGCGGAACUGUGGGUGGAGCGGUGAAAUGCAUUGAGAUCCACAGGAACUCCGGUGGCGAAGGCGGCUUGCUGGACCUCUUCUGACGCUGAGGCGCGAAAGCCAGGGGAGCGAACGGG